UACGUAGGUGACCAGCGUUGUCCGGAUUUACUGGGCGUAAAGAGCGCGCAGGCGGUCGUUCAAGUCGAGUGUGAAAGCCCCCGGCUCAACUGGGGAGGGUCAUUCGAUACUGAUCGACUGGAAGGCAGGAGAGGGAAGCGGAAUUCCCGGUGUAGUGGUGAAAUGCGUAGAUAUCGGGAGGAACACCAGCGGCGAAGGCGGCUUCCUGGCCUGUUCUUGACGCUGAGGCGCGAAAGCUAGGGGAGCAAACGGG
rnacentral:rRNA from 1 species